GAAGUUAGUGGGUUUAAGUAGUGUUUCUUGACUGGCAGUCAAGAGGUCGUGGGUUCGAAUCCCAUCUUCUCCA
rnacentral:tRNA from 1 species